rnacentral:lncRNA from 1 species
GGUCUGUUUUGCCUGAACUCAUCAACAACUGAGAGAUUAAUCAUCCAUACUGAAAAUGU